rnacentral:rRNA from 1 species
CGUAUCACCCAAGACAACUUUACGGAGUUGACGAUUGACGGAGCGAAGCGACGUCAAAGCGUUCAUUAAAGUCGAGUUGGCUUAGGGAUACGUUCGUUGGGUAGGGGAGCGUUCUGUAAGCCUGUGAAGGUGUGUCGUGAGGCAUGCUGGAGGUAUCAGAAGUGCGAAUGCUGACAUAAGUAACGAUAAAGCGGGUGAAAAGCCCGCUCGCCGGAAGACCAAGGGUUCCUGUCCAACGUUAAUCGGGGCAGGGUGAGUCGACCCCUAAGGCGAGGCCGAAAGGCGUAGUCGAUGGGAAACGGGUUAAUAUUCCCGUACUUGGUGUUACUGCGAAGGGGGGACGGAGAAGGCUAUGUUGGCCGGGCGACGGUUGUCCCGGUUUAAGCGUGUAGGUGUGUGUUCCAGGUAAAUCCGGUUCACUUUAACACUGAGGCGUGACGACGAGGCACUACGGUGCUGAAGCAACAAAUGCCCUGCUUCCAGGAAAAGCCUCUAAGCAUCAGGUAACAUCAAAUCGUACCCCAAACCGACACAGGUGGUCAGGUAGAGAAUACCAAGGCGCUUGAGAGAACUCGGGUGAAGGAACUAGGCAAAAUGGUGCCGUAACUUCGGGAGAAGGCACGCUGACACGUAGGUGAAGUGAUUUACUCACGGAGCUGAAGUCAGUCGAAGAUACCAGCUGGCUGCAACUGUUUAUUAAAAACACAGCACUGUGCAAACACGAAAGUGGACGUAUACGGUGUGACGCCUGCCCGGUGCCGGAAGGUUAAUUGAUGGGGUCAGCGCAAGCGAAGCUCCUGAUCGAAGCCCCGGUAAACGGCGGCCGUAACUAUAACGGUCCUAAGGUAGCGAAAUUCCUUGUCGGGUAAGUUCCGACCUGCACGAAUGGCGUAAUGAUGGCCAGGCUGUCUCCACCCGAGACUCAGUGAAAUUGAACUCGCUGUGAAGAUGCAGUGUACCCGCGGCAAGACGGAAAGACCCCGUGAACCUUUACUAUAGCUUGACACUGAACAUUGAGCCUUGAUGUGUAGGAUAGGUGGGAGGCUUUGAAGUGUGGACGCCAGUCUGCAUGGAGCCGACCUUGAAAUACCACCCUUUAAUGUUUGAUGUUCUAACGUGGACCCGUUACCCGGGUUGCGGACAGUGUCUGGUGGGUAGUUUGACUGGGGCGGUCUCCUCCUAAAGAGUAACGGAGGAGCACGAAGGUUGGCUAAUCCUGGUCGGACAUCAGGAGGUUAGUGCAAUGGCAUAAGCCAGCUUGACUGCGAGCGUGACGGCGCGAGCAGGUGCGAAAGCAGGUCAUAGUGAUCCGGUGGUUCUGAAUGGAAGGGCCAUCGCUCAACGGAUAAAAGGUACUCCGGGGAUAACAGGCUGAUACCGCCCAAGAGUUCAUAUCGACGGCGGUGUUUGGCACCUCGAUGUCGGCUCAUCACAUCCUGGGGCUGAAGUAGGUCCCAAGGGUAUGGCUGUUCGCCAUUUAAAGUGGUACGCGAGCUGGGUUUAGAACGUCGUGAGACAGUUCGGUCCCUAUCUGCCGUGGGCGCUGGAGAACUGAGGGGGGCUGCUCCUAGUACGAGAGGACCGGAGUGGACGCAUCACUGGUGUUCGGGUUGUCAUGCCAAUGGCACUGCCCGGUAGCUAAAUGCGGAAGAGAUAAGUGCUGAAAGCAUCUAAGCACGAAACUUGCCCCGAG